GCUAAGGUAGUCCAUGACUGAGAUGAGAAAAUCCUUAGUAUUUCGAAAAAUGCAUCAUUUUGUAAACAGGAAAUUUAUAAAUAAUGAUCAUAUAAUUGAUAUUCAUGUCAACAUCGAAGUUCUGACUACUGGGCUGGUGAUACCCUCGGGGACGAAACAUCCAACAUCCAGCGGCAUUGAUCCAGUGGUAUAAAUAGUUAUCAAAGGUACCAGGCUUAUUAUUUGAUACGCCAGAUGCGCGUUUCGUCUACAUAAGACUCAUCAGUGACGCUCAGAUCAAAUCAGGGAAACAAAAUGUAUUGCCAUUGAAAACAAGUAUUCCGUACAGUUCGUUUAAAGUUGUCGAAGAAAUAUCUUUCGCGAAAAAAUGUCAUGAAAAAAAAACUAAAAUAAUUAAUCAGUCCCCUUCAUAAACUAAGUUGAUACAACGAAUUACUCAAAAAGAUACUUUUAUAGAUAUAUAUAUAUAUAACGUAACUGCUGUCGAUUACUUUAUUCGGUAAGGAUAACACAUGUGGUUUAGUUUCAAAGAUAGUCUGUUGCCCCGUACACUGUACUACCUUUAACAUUAUUUGAGUAAUGGAGGUCUACAAAAUAUGUCAACCAUAAUGGCCCUAUAUGUUACUCAAUAUACGCCGUGUUGCUUAAGUAAUACACUAGUAUUAAUAAAAACCUAGUCAAGGUAAAAAGGAAAUCAUGAUUUCAUUCUAGUGACAUAAUUGAGUAGCGUACGGGUAAAGUGUCUCAUGAACGUUGUAAAUGUAUAUGUAUAUAAUAGUCUGUGGUAAAAUAUUUGUGUUUGGCAAAUAAUAUGACCAUGAAUUUUAUUAGUUGUUAUUGGUUUUGAACUAGCUGUGAGUUACUGCGAGUACUCUUAGAUCUGUGUCUUUUUGUUGUUUGUAUGUACAACCACCUGGCCAUGCCCCGUCUGUGUUUUUGUUACAUGUAUAUUCUAUAUAAAUUUUUGGAUGUAAGACGCAUUCUGAUAUGCAAAAUUUAAACAAGGUAUAGUCUUAGCUGUACGUAGACAAAAUAACAAAAUAAAACGCUGAAAUAAAGGAAUCAUAACGAAUAUAUCCAGGAAUAAUUCAAAUAUCUACAAUUAAAAUAUAACUGAACUUCAUUCCCAAAUUUGAUGGUCUUAAACGUUUUGUGAUGAUAAUUGUAUUCACAUUACAGUACUAACGAUUUUUAAAGUUUUAAAGGAUUUCGUUAUUAAUAAAGUUGCAUUUCAGCUGACUUCUACCUUAGUUUUUAGAAAGUCGAUGAGAUCCGAUACAUACAGAAUACGAUUGGUCAAGAGACUCUUUUCAAUCAGCCUAUCGACUUACCUGUAUCAUCCCGGAGUUCCAUUAGUUAACAAUGCGAAAUUCAAUAUUAUAUUACAAUCAAAGAAAUGUUAUCGAAAACUAACUGAUUAAGACCAGCAACAUUUCGUAACUAAAGGCAACAGUAGUAUACCGCUGUUCGAAAUUCAUAAAUCGAUUGAGAAAAAAACAAAUCCGGGUUACAAACUAAAACUGAGGGAAACACAUCAAAUAUAAGAGGAGAACUACGACACAACAGAAACACAACACUAAAAUGUAAUUUGCUAAAUUUCCCGUUAAAUCCACAGCUGAAAUAUAGUACCCCCUGUCCAUUUUUAUUUUGUAUGACGCCACAUUGAUCAAUGACGUUGACGAGCAAAAUCAUUCAUGAAGUUUAUCGGAUUGUUAAUUCAUUUAAAAUUCAUAGGUUUUAAUUUGAUAUUUAACGUAUCAAAUCUAUUUGUAAUCCAUUAGAAUAGGAAUUUAUUCUUUGCAUUAUUGUUAUGCUUUAUAAAACCCAAACCAUUUUUACUAUUUGUUUACAUGGUCGGGUACAUGCAUUACGGCAGAUAUGGAAUACGUUGCUAUGUUACACAGUCAUGAUAGUACCGUAAAAUCUCGUUAAAUUUUCCUGGCAAUAUUUUGCACGACAUGAUGUGGCCGUACCGUUUGUUUGAGCGUAGAGUUAAUACAAGCGUAUUCUAGUUUAAGUAAAGCGGGUCAGUUAGCUUCAAACACGUUUAUACGGCACUUAUUUGGUAAAUAAUUAGGUAAUUCCUUAUUUGAAAAAACGAAUAGUUCAACCUCAAAAUCAUAAGAAACCAGUAUUGUAAUUAAGUAGAUCGGAAGCACGUGUCGUCUUCAUUAGAUAUUAUAUGGUGCUGCAAUCAUAACAAAGUCAAGGAGCAUGAUUAUGAAAACCAUUUUUGAUUGAUUUUUUUUUUCAUGACAAAAACAAAAAUAGACGAGAAAAGUAAACACGUUUCAAUCAUUCUUUUUGGUAACAGUAAGUUGUUUGAUCGAUGAAUAUAGUAAAACAUCUUUAAAUGAAUAAUUCUUCAAACAAGCUUUACAUUUUCAAAACAAAAUCAGUAAACCAUAAACACAUAUACCUUAAACGAGUCGAACAAAAGCGUAAAAAAAUUAAUUUACAGCUAACUUAAUCAACUAUAUUUGAUUAUAACUUUACAAAACGUGUUAAAUGAGAAAUUGUAUAGAAAAGUUCAAACUUUAUGAACGUGUCAAUUAGUUAAUUUUAUUCCAAUACAAUUACUCUUGUAUGGAACUAUUAAAUUGUUUUAUAACCUAUAUUUUAAUCAUUGUUUAGGAAAGAAGCGACUGCCGUUAUGCUGCUAAAACACACACGGAUAUGUUUUUGGUACUUAGCAUUUGUUAGCACAUAUAAUGCAGCUUUUGAAAUAUUCGAGGGAAAAGUUAUAAAGAGCACCAAUACAUCAGCAAUCAAAUUUACUUGUAAAACUUACCAACGACCAGUUGGAGAUAGUAUAGUGUUUCUUCUUAACGACAGAACUACAAAUGUCAUGCGCGUCUACGAAGGAAAAUGUUAUGAUAACCAAGGAGAAUGUAAAAACUGUACUUGUUCUUCUUCGCGCAAUGAGAUAACUUUCACAUGGAUGUAUAUUAUGACUGUUCCCUGUCACAACUGUACAUUUGGAGCUGACAUGAGCUAUACUGAUGAAAAUAAAAGAAAAAGCAGGAACGUUAACUUAUACAGGGUAUACAACUGCAAAGAUUUAGGGCCUCUUCAAAGGAAUACACAAGAAGUUCAGCAUAAUACAAAGCAAGUAGAAGGUAUGAAAGAAGAUGGCUUUGUAGUUCCAAUAAUAUUCAUCUGCGUCACAGCUAUAGUCAUAUGCUUCAUAACCACGAUUUUAGUGUUGAAAAGAAAACAAAUAAGGCAGCGUAUUCGACCUCGAGUGAAGAAACAAGAUACCGAGGAAGAGUUACUGGCCAAUACAGUAAAGAAAACUGAUGCCGAAGAAGAACAAUACAUUAUUUGAUUUAUAAAGGGAUAUUGUCUCAGUAAAGAUAUGACACACUCGGCUUGUGCCUCGAAACUGUGCAAGCCUGUGCAGAUUUCAGUACAAUUAUCAGGGCAAAUAACGUUAGAAGGCGAAUCUGAUAUUUUUGGAAUAAUUUCUAUUUCGAAAUCCAAAUUGGUAGUUGCUGAUAAUUUUGGCAAUAUUUUAAAGAUAUAUUCGGAUGGCCAGUGCAAGCUUAAAUGUCCUCUACUUUAUAAAAUAAAUGGAGUAACCAGUGUUUCUGAAGAUGUUAUUGCAGUGACCCUUGUGAACAACAAAAACAUUUAUCUCUAUACACUUGAAAACGACGGAUGUAAAUUAUUGGAUACAAUUAAAGUCGGUUACAACAUAGUUGAUAUAGCAUCGGACAAAGAUUAUAUAGUUUUCGAACAGAAGAAUGAAAACACCAAACAGACAUCUUUGAAAAUAUGGAAUGUCAAAUCAAAAAUAAUAGAGAAUAUCAUAAAUGUUCCUUAUUCAAAUUCUGGUUCCAAUAAACUGGCACUUGACAUGUCCUCAGAAACAAUCUACGCAUGCGCUGAAAAUAGUGUGUUUGCUGUAAGCUUUAAAAAGGAUAAAGAUUGGAGCAUGGUGGUUCCAGAUCCAACAGCAAUCGUUCUAGUUCAAGCUGGUGAAAAUAAUCGGAUGGUUCUGGUAUUGUACAAAAAUCAAAACGAAAUAUAUCGUGUGAGCAAAAAUGAAGUUAUUCGAGUAGAAAAAACAGAAGAAAAAGAAAAGAACGAGAAAAAACGAAAAGAAAAUGGAGACGAAGAGGAAGAAGCAGGAAAAGUAGAAAUACAAAAAUCAUCCACGUUUAAUCGUAUGACUUACAAUGCCGAGCUUAAGCAGCUUUUUGUGCAGACUGCCAAAAAUGUUAUAAGCGUAUAUGACAUUACAUAUUGAUCGAUAUGGUUUAGUCAGUAGUCUUGUUGAUGAUUAUAUGUGAUGUUAACUAUUUGUCAUUACUAACAUUUAGAAUUGUUUUAUUACAUGUAAUGACAUAUUUGUCCAUAAUCCUUGUGUAAAUUCAUGUUGAUGAUUUCAAAAGAAAAUUAGUUGUUCCUUAACAAGAAAACGAUUAAAAGAUUAGCAAUUGAGAUUGUUUUAAUUUAGUAAUUGGAACCGAUACAGUGUUUUCGUCAGAAUUUUCAUGGACACUAUAAUGACCCAUGUAUGAAACAAAUUAGUUUUUAAUAGGGAAAGACCGACUGUCAUAUUAGAUAAAUCAUUAUACUGCAGAUAAAACAAUAUCAAAACAUUUGUGACUUGAUUUUAGUUUAAAAAUGACAAAACACAG